UUUACAAAAAAAAGUACCUAUUUCACAAAAAAAUUUUUGAAUUGUAGUGAAAACUAAACUUUUGGUGCAAAUUAUUUGGUCGGCAACACCGUUUCCACUUUGACGCUUUGCUUUGUUAUUAUUCGUUGAAAAUCUUUUAUCUGUUUGUAAACAUUCAAGUCGAUUAUGUCUUACAUAUGGUGAUAGUCGAUUAUUUGGAGUCGGCUUUCUGCUGCAGAAAACCCCCGGUUUGUGAAUUUUCAUACACGUUUUUAUAGCAGCGUUUUUGCAAAUAUAAUAGAGACCACCUUACAUACAAUACAUAAACUACAGUUAGACUUCACAGACGAGCAAUUGCUGCGGAAGGUGUGUGUUGAAGAGCUAGGUGGCCCAACUAUUGUGGUUUUUAGAAACGAAAGCACGUAUUUCUACCAUUGUCUCAUGUGGUGCUACGGACAAUUUCAUAGGAGACAUGGAGCAUGUUGUGUAUGAUGGUGCAAAUACCUGUUUAACAUAUGACGGUCAUUAUGUGCCUAGUACUGCUACCUCUGAAAUCAAUUUGACUUCCGAACUGGCUGUCCACGUCGAUACCUUACCCCAUCUAGAUCAAUAUGCUGUACGUAGAUGUAUGCGCAACACCUACACGAGCAAGUCCUCGCGCUUUAAGUCUACAAUUACAGAUAAGUUUUUGAUUUCUGCCUGAAGUAAGUGCAGUGUUCCAACACCUAUACGAGCAAGUGCACCCACAUUCCUCAUAUUUCCUCUCCGAUUCAUUACUGAGACACGUGGUAUUGAUAUACGUAAAUUUACAAACCAUCACAAUUACUAAAAGUGGAUUAUAUUACCAAUAUCUAAAAUUUUUCGAUGUAUUAGUUUUAGUCUAUAUUAAUACAUUUUCCUAUUAAUAUUAGGGACGCAAAGUAUAUUAAAGUACACAAAUUUUAAACUAUAAACUAGUAAAUUUGUAAUUUUUAUUGCAAACUAUUUUAACUUCUAAUUUCAAUUUUUUUCUUAUAUUUAGAA